rnacentral:rRNA from 1 species
GGAAUUUUCCGCAAUGGGCGAAAGCCUGACGGAGCAACGCCGCGUGGGUGAAGAAGGAUUUCGGUCUGUAAAGCCCUUUCAGUCGGGACGAGACGAAGACGGUACCGACAGAAGAAGCAUCGGCUAACUACGUGCCAGCAGCCGCGGUAAUACGUAGGAUGCAAGCGUUAUCCGGAAUUAUUGGGCGUAAAGCGUACGUAGGCGGUUUACCAAGUCUGGAGUUAAAGACCGAGGCUCAACCUCGGGAGUGCUCUGGAAACUGGUAGGCUGGAGGACGGCAGAGGAAAGUGGAAUUCCCAGUGUAGCGGUGAAAUGCGUAGAUAUUGGGAGGAACAACAGUGGAGAAAGCGACUUUCUGGGCCGUUCCUGACGCUGAGGUACGAAAGCCAGGGGAGCAAACG